AUGUGCUGGAACAUGCGAGGUUUAAACUCGCCAGCCAAGAGGGAGGCUGUGCGGGAAGGGGUCGCGGCUCACCAUGUCGCCAUCCUCUGCCUCCAAGAGACAAAGUUAGAUGCUUGGACUCCUGAUUUAGUUAGAGACAUCGGCGAUAGCACUCUGCUAGGAUGUGGCAUGUUGUCGCCGAUCUGUACGCGCGGAGGCGUCGCCAUCCUUUGGAACAAAGAUGUAGUAACGGUCUACACCCAUGCCAUCGGCCAGUUUGCGAUCACCGCUAGGGUUACCCAAACCUGCAACCUCACGAGCUUCUGGCUCACCACGGUCUAUGGACCGGCCGACGACGCGAACAAGGAUGAUUUCCUUGCUGAGGUAGCUAGGACUGCUCCUCUGGCCACCGAGCCAUGGCUGGUCAACGGCGACUUCAAUCUAAUCUACGAGGCCAGGGACAAAAACAAUCACAACAUCAAAAGGCGGCUUAUGGGCCGUUUUAGAACUGCGGUAGACGGAGCUGGGCUUCGGCAGAUCAAGUGCAAUAAUCGCAAGUUUACUUGGAGUAGCGAGAGGGAAAAUCCAACCCUAGUUAGCAUGGAUAAGUUCUUCUGCAACUCGCACUGGGAGGCCCUCUUCCCGCAGGUCCUGUUGAUGGCGGCGUCCACCGCGUGCACCGACCACUGCCCACUCAUGCUAGCUGAUGCAAUGGGACCUCGACGGCAGUGA
rnacentral:rRNA from 1 species